rnacentral:rRNA from 1 species
GCUAGCUACAGGCUUAACACAUGCAAGUCGAGGGGUAGCAGGGUAGCAAUACCGCUGACGACCGGCGCACGGGUGAGUAACACGUAUCCAACCUUCCCAUAACUCGGGGAUAGCCUUUCGAAAGAAAGAUUAAUACCCGAUAGUACUUAAGAAAGGCAUCUUUUUUAAGUUAAAGAUUUAUUGGUUAUGGAUGGGGAUGCGUUCCAUUAGAUAGUUGGUGAGGUAACGGCUCACCAAGUCUUCGAUGGAUAGGGGUUCUGAGAGGAAGGUCCACCACAUUGGUACUGAGACACGGACCAAACUCCUACGGGAGGCAGCAGUGAGGAAUAUUGGUCAAUGGGCGAGAGCCUGAACCAGCCAAGUAGCGUGAAGGAUGACGG